rnacentral:rRNA from 1 species
CAAUAGCGUAUAUUAAAGUUGUUGCAGUUAAAAAGCUCGUAGUUGGAUUUCAGGGUCACGUGGCCACGUCUGCCUUUGGGUAAGCACUGGUCGCGGGAUUCUUUUUUCUGGAGACGUCGUCUGUACUUAGUUGUAUGGGCGAACGGAUUCAGAUCGUUUACUUUGAAAAAAUUAGAGUGUUUAAAGCAGGCCACCUGCCUUGAAUACAUUAGCAUGGAAUAAUGGAAUAGGACUUUGGUCUUAAUUUGUUGGUUUCUAGGACCAAAGUAAUGAUUAAUAGGGAUAGUUGGGGGCAUUAAUAUUUAAUUGUCAGAGGUGAAAUUCUUGGAUUUAUGAAAGAUUAACUUCUGCGAAAGCAUUUGCCAAGGAUGUUUUCAUUAA